CCCUUAGAUGUUCUGGGCCGCACGCGCGCUACAAUGGCAAACUCAGCGAGUCUCCUUUACCGACAGGUAUAGGAAAUCUUUUCAGUGUUUGCCGUGAUGGGGCUAGACCCUUGUAAUUAUUGGUCUCCAACGAGGAAUUCCUAGUAAACGCAGGUCAUUAACCUGCAUUGAUUACGUCCCUGCCCUUUGUACACACCGCCCGUCGCACCUACCGAUUGAACGGUCCGGUGAAGUCUCCGGACUGAGUACUUUUAGUACUUGGGAAGUUGACUAAACCUUACUAUUUAGAGGAAGGUGAAGUCGUAACA
rnacentral:rRNA from 1 species